UGUCUGGGAAGCUGCCUGAUGGAGGGGGAUAACUACUGGAAACGGUAGCUAAUACCGCAUAAUGUCGCAAGACCAAAGAGGGGGACCUUCGGGCCUCUUGCCAUCGGAUGUGCCCAGAUGGGAUUAGCUAGUAGGUGGGGUAACGGCUCACCUAGGCGACGAUCCCUAGCUGGUCUGAGAGGAUGACCAGCCACACUGGAACUGAGACACGGUCCAGACUCCUACGGGAGGCAGCAGUGGGGAAUAUUGCACAAUGGGCGCAAGCCUGAUGCAGCCAUGCCGCGUGUAUGAAGAAGGCCUUCGGGUUGUAAAGUACUUUCAGCGGGGAGGAAGGGAGUAAAGUUAAUACCUUUGCUCAUUGACGUUACCCGCAGAAGAAGCACCGGCUAACUCCGUG
rnacentral:rRNA from 1 species